rnacentral:rRNA from 1 species
GGGGGGGGGGGGGCAAGCGUUGUUCGGAAUUACUGGGGCGUAAAGGGCGCGCAGGCGGGGGCGGGAAAGUCUCUCGUGAAAUCCCACGGGCUCAACCGCGGAAUUGCGGGAGAUACUACUCGUCUUGAGUUCGGGAGAGGAGUGUGGAAUUCCCAGUGUAGCGGUGAAAUGCGUAGAUAUUGGGAGGAACACCGGUGGCGAAGGCGGCACUCUGGACCGAUACUGACGCUGAGGCGCGAAAGCUAGGGGAGCAAACGGGAUUAGAUACCCCGGUAGUCCUAGCUGUAAACGCUGAGCACUUGGUGUAGCGGGUAUCGACCCCUGCUGUGCCGAAGCUAACGCAUUAAGUGCUCCGCCUGGGGAGUACGGUCGCAAGGCUG